GGAUCGGCAGCUAGCGUGGGACCCGUGCAACAGGCCAAAGCAGACUGUCGACAAGCAAUUUGUUUGGCUCAAUUAACCAGGACCUUGACACCUUAAAGAACAGCCUUGCUACGUUAGAGAUGGGGCCAGUACUAUUGCAGUCAACUCUGUGGUAUACACUGAGACAUGAUCUGAUAUUCUUCUGAUAUAUGACUCACUUGCUGGGAUAAAGACUGCUGCACCUGCACGCCCUGUAUCAGGAUCUUUGGAGCCAUUUGUGAAUAUAAACAUGGAGUCUGAAAAAUGUAAAUCAAAGUAAUUCUGUACUAUACUGCAUGCUGGAAGUUUCUUUGACAUAUCCUUCAAUUCCUGCUGUAUGUUUAGAUCUACAAUUGGUGUUGGGAAUAACCAGGGAGGAAUGGAAGACUGUGACACUGUAGGGCUGUAGUCUAAUUGUCGUAAUCCUAUGACUUCUGCCUUUGCAUCACCAAUCCACCCAAAACUUGUGAAAUUUGUCUCAUUGUGUUCCCAGCAAUCUAUUAAGAGACUCUUGGCAGGAUGAGAAUCACAUUGCCCCUGGAGAUUAACCCAGUAUGCCAACAUUAGCUUUACUCGCCUGAUUCUUAACGGCAUUUCUCCCAUUUCCACCUGCAUUGCUGACACCGGAGAUGUUCUGACUG